AAAUUGAAGAGUUUGAUCAUGGCUCAGAUUGAACGCUGGCGGCAGGCCUAACACAUGCAAGUCGAACGGUAACAGGAAGAAGCUUGCUUCUUUGCUGACGAGUGGCGGACGGGUGAGUAAUAUCUGGGAAACUGCCUGAUGGAGGGGGAUAACUACUGGAAACGGUAGCUAAUACCGCAUAACGUCGCAAGACCAAAGAGGGGGACCUUCGGGCCUCUUGCCAUCGGAUGUGCCCAGAUGGGAUUAGCUAGUAGGUGGGGUAACGGCUCACCUAGGCGACGAUCCCUAGCUGGUCUGA
rnacentral:rRNA from 1 species